UAUCUUUGUGUUUGAGUGGAAGAAAAACUGGUUAUAAAACGGUACAAUGAUAACAAUCAUGAAAAAAAGAAGUGCAUUUAAAAAGAGACUGAAAGGAAUUAUGCCAAAAUGUCAAAGUGGUCUCUAAUUGGAGGAGUUAUGGAUAAAAAAAAAAAAAAAAAAAAAACUUCUUUAUACUUUCUGUACUUUUUAAAUGAUUUACUAUAUACAUGGAUUACUUCCAUAAUCAGGAAAAAAGUAAAAACUUUUAAAAUGCUGUAUACGUGGUUUCCAUUUUUAUUUUCUCUGAUGGAUGGUUGCACAUCAGUGAAUCUUGAGUUACGCUAACUACUUAGGCCGGUCAUGACACACACACGGACAGAGAGGUCACACGGGCCGUGCCAGGCUGGCUGUAGCAAAUGUACAUCAAGUUACACAGGUGGGAUUGUUAGGCUGGUUAAAGUAGGCCACCAGA